rnacentral:rRNA from 1 species
UUAAUUUGGAUUGUCGAUAUCUUCUGCCCGGUGUUUAUAUAAACGGCCGCAGUACCUUGACUGUGCUCAUGUAGCAUAAUCAAUUGGCUAUUAAUUGUAGUCUAGUAUGAAUGAAGUAAUGAAUAGUAACUAUAAUAAAAAAUAUUAUUUUAAUUUAAUGAACUGGUGAAAAUACCAGUAUAUAGAAAAAAGACGAGAAGACCCUUAGAGUUUUUGAAAUAAAGAUUGUUUAAGACUUUAAUUUAUACUACUCUUAAAGUAAUUACACAAUACACUUUUUUGUUGGGGCGACAAGAAAGCAAUAUAACCUUUCUAUUGACACUAAAAGUGGUAUUAGAUCUGACGAUAUUAUUAUGAAUGACUAAACUACCUGAGGGAUAACAGCAUAAUGAUAAAUAUUAGUUUGUGACCUCGAUGUUGGACUAGGGACUAGUACACUAACCGUGAUAAAAGCUUGUUCUGUUCGAACAAUAAACCGCUACGUGAUCUGAGUUCAGACCGGA